UGCAGUCGAACGGCAGCACGGGAGCAAUCCUGGUGGCGAGUGGCGAACGGGUGAGUAAUAUAUCGGAACGUGCCCAGUCGUGGGGGAUAACGCAGCGAAAGCUGUGCUAAUACCGCAUACGAUCUAUGGAUGAAAGCGGGGGAUCGCAAGACCUUGCGCGAUUGGAGCGGCCGAUAUCAGAUUAGCUAGUUGGCGGGGUAAAAGCCCACCAAGGCGACGAUCUGUAGCUGGUCUGAGAGGACGACCAGCCACACUGGAACUGAGACACGGUCCAGACUCCUACGGGAGGCAGCAGUGGGGAAUUUUGGACAAUGGGCGCAAGCCUGAUCCAGCAAUGCCGCGUGCAGGAUGAAGGCCUUCGGGUUGUAAACUGCUUUUGUACGGAGCGAAACGGUCCUUUCUAAUACAAGGGGCUAAUGACGGUACCGUAAGAAUAAGCACCGGCUAACUACGUGCCAGCAGCCGCGGUAAUACGUAGGGUGCAAGCGUUAAUCGGAAUUACUGGGCGUAAAGCGUGCGCAGGCGGUUAUAUAAGACAGAUGUGAAAUCCCCGGGCUCAACCUGGGACCUGCAUUUGUGACUGUAUAGCUAGAGUACGGUAGAGGGGGAUGGAAUUCCGCGUGUAGCAGUGAAAUGCGUAGAUAUGCGGAGGAACACCGAUGGCGAAGGCAAUCCCCUGGACCUGUACUGACGCUCAUGCACGAAAGCGUGGGGAGCAAACAGGAUUAGAUACCCUGGUAGUCCACGCCCUAAACGAUGUCAACUGGUUGUUGGGUCUUCACUGACUCAGUAACGAAGCUAACGCGUGAAGUUGACCGCCUGGGG
rnacentral:rRNA from 1 species